rnacentral:rRNA from 1 species
UAAGGAAUAUUGGUCAAUGGGCGCAAGCCUGAACCAGCCAUGCCGCGUGCAGGAAGACGGCCCUAUGGGUUGUAAACUGCUUUUAUCAGGGAAUAAACCCCCGCUCGUGAGCGGGGCUGAAGGUACCUGAAGAAUAAGCAUCGGCUAACUCCGUGCCAGCAGCCGCGGUAAAACGGAGGAUGCAAGCGUUAUCCGGAUUCAUUGGGUUUAAAGGGUGCGCAGGCGGAUUGGUAGGUCAGGGGUGAAAUCCCACAGCUCAACUGUGGAACUGCCUUUGAUACUGUCAGUCUAGAGUAUAGUUGAAGUGGGCGGAAUGUGUCAUGUAGCGGUGAAAUGCUUAGAUAUGACACAGAACACCGAUCGCGAAGGCAGCUCGCUAAGCUAUAACUGACGCUCAUGCACGAAAGCGUGGGGAUCAAACAG